AAUUGCAUGACAUCACGACAACCGAGUGUGCGGAUUUGCUUUUUUGCUUUCCGGCACUCUUCCGCGGCCGAGUUGGCAUUUGAAGAAGGUAACUUUUCCUCCGCUUAUUGAUAUGCAUCCUUGGAACAGGACGUCACAGAGGGUGAGAAUCCCGUGCGAUGAGAUGCCCAAUUCUAUGUAAAGUGCUUUCGAAGAGUCGAGUUGUUUGGGAAUGCAGCUCUAAGUGGGUGGUAAAUUCCAUCUAAAGCUAAAUAUUGGCGAGAGACCGAUAGCGAACAAGUACAGUGAUGGAAAGAUGAAAAGAACUUUGAAAAGAGAGUGAAAAAGUACGUGAAAUUGUUGAAAGGGAAGGGCUUGAGAUCAGACUUGGUAUUUUGCGAUCCUUUCCUUCUUGGUUGGGUUCCUCGCAGCUUACUGGGCCAGCAUCGGUUUGGAUGGUAGGAUAAUGACUAAGGAAUGUGGCUCUACUUCGGUGGAGUGUUAUAGCCUUGGUUGAUACUGCCUGUCUAGACCGAGGACUGCGUCUUUGACUAGGAUGCUGGCAUAAUGAUCUUAAGCCACCCGUCUUGAAACACAGACCAAAAA
rnacentral:rRNA from 1 species